GGGCUGGGACCGGGACGUCGGGG
rnacentral:siRNA from 1 species